UUUCCGUAGGUGAACCUGCGGAAGGAUCAUUCAUAAUAAGUGUUUUAUGGCACUUUUUUAAAUCCAUAUCCACCUUGUGUGCAAUGUCAGGGUUGGUCUCUUUUUGAUCAGCCCCAAACAUCAACUAUUAUCUCGACUCUUUGUCUGAAAAAUAUUAUGAAUAAAACAAUUCAAAAUACAACUUUCAACAACGGAUCUCUUGGCUCUC
rnacentral:misc_RNA from 1 species